GAUCAUUGACAUAAUUGAUAAGGCUAAAACAAAGAGAUAACUAACGUAGAGAGGCUCUAAGCCCUCUACAAGUGACUAACAAUAUAGCUUGCAAGUAUAGACCUAACGUGCUAUACGCUGAACCAGCAAAAGCGGUGAAGCCCUCGCAGGGUGAUGAACGCAGAGGCUGGCAACCUCGCCCUUCGUAAGGGGCUUGCAAGCAC
rnacentral:sRNA from 19 species